GAAGAUAACGAAAUUAGGGCGAAUUCGGUUUGGGAGAUAACUUUGAGCGAAUUGGCCAAGGUUCAAAUCAACAAAUAUUGGUAGAACUGACACAGGAACAUUUGUAUUAAAAAUGACGCUGGAGCAGUUUGUGUUUAAUACUUAAUACUCGUCUAAUUAGCGGAAAGGCCAGCUGAUAAUCAUUCUGAUGAGAAUCACAAGUCGCCUUAUACUUGCCGUUAAAUUAAGGUGUCCUGUGUCAGCCUUUGGGAAGUAUGGAUUUAUAGGCUAUAAAAUCGUGAAACAGGCAAUUCAAGAAAUCAAUAGUACCCUUAACAAAAAGUAUUCCAUUGAUACCUGACUACGCUGAUUUGUUUAACCAGAUAAAAUCUUCGAAAUUUUACAGCCUUGUUCCAUUAGAUACGACCCAAAGAAAAGACACCAUCGACGGCGAUCAAUGGACUGAACUUGACAAAAAACUCCCACUAGAAGCCAGUUUUUCUACAUUGAAAAAUAUAAUGACCAAGCAACGAGAUCGUCUAAUUGUGUUGAAACUAACUAUGCCAGCGACUUCUAUAUUUUUUAAUCAAAAAUAUAAUUGAGUGACUGUUCCUGUGUCAUUUAAAAUGUUCCUGAGUCAGUCAAAUUUGUGUCAGGAUCUCAGGAAUCCUGAGUCAGGAUGGUCGAUUGGGGAAAUGUUAUAAAUAAAUGUUUUUCAACAAAUUUA